GGUGGCUCAGUGGUAAGAGAGCUUGCCUUGCAUGCCUGAGGCCCUGGGUUCGAUUCCCAACACCA
rnacentral:tRNA from 1 species